CGUAAGCCCAUGCCGGUCGAAGAUACCAGGCCGCUGCGACUGUUUAUUAAAAACACAGCACUCUGCAAACACGAAAGUGGACGUAUAGGGUGUGACGCCUGCCCGGUGCCGGAAGGUUAAUUGAUGGGGUUAGCGCAAGCGAAGCUCUUGAUCGAAGCCCCGGUAAACGGCGGCCGUAACUAUAACGGUCCUAAGGUAGCGAAAUUCCUUGUCGGGUAAGUUCCGACCUGCACGAAUGGCGUAACGAUGGCGGCGCUGUCUCCACCCGAGACUCAGUGAAAUUGAAAUCGCUGUGAAGAUGCAGUGUAUCCGCGGCUAGACGGAAAGACCCCGUGAACCUUUACUAUAGCUUUGCACUGGACUUUGAGCUUGCUUGUGUAGGAUAGGUGGGAGGCUUUGAAGUGGGGACGCCAGUUCUCAUGGAGCCAUCCUUGAAAUACCACCCUGGCAACCUUGAGGUUCUAACUCUGGUCCGUUAUCCGGAUCGAGGACAGUGUAUGGUGGGUAGUUUGACUGGGGCGGUCUCCUCCCAAAGAGUAACGGAGGAGUACGAAGGUGCGCUCAGACCGGUCGGAAAUCGGUCGUAGAGUAUAAAGGCAAAAGCGCGCUUGACUGCGAGACAGACACGUCGAGCAGGUACGAAAGUAGGUCUUAGUGAUCCGGUGGUUCUGUAUGGAAGGGCCAUCGCUCAACGGAUAAAAGGUACUCCGGGGAUAACAGGCUGAUACCGCCCAAGAGUUCAUAUCGACGGCGGUGUUUGGCACCUCGAUGUCGGCUCAUCACAUCCUGGGGCUGAAGCCGGUCCCAAGGGUAUGGCUGUUCGCCAUUUAAAGUGGUACGCGAGCUGGGUUUAGAACGUCGUGAGACAGUUCGGUCCCUAUCUGCCGUGGACGUUUGAGAUUUGAGAGGGGCUGACCUUAGUACGAGAGGACCGGGUUGGACGAACCUCUGGUGUUCCGGUUGUCACGCCAGUGGCAUUGCCGGGUAGCUAUGUUCGGAAAAGAUAACCGCUGAAAGCAUCUAAGCGGGAAACUUGCCUCAAGAUGAGAUCUCACUGGAGCCUUGAGCUCCCUGAAGGGCCGUCGAAGACUACGACGUUGAUAGGUGGGGUGUGUAAGCGCUGUGAGGCGUUGAGCUAACCCAUACUAAUUGCCCGUGAGGCUUGACCAU
rnacentral:rRNA from 1 species